rnacentral:rRNA from 1 species
UACGUAGGGGGCAAGCGUUGUCCGGAUUUACUGGGCGUAAAGAGCGUGUAGGCGGCCAAGCAGGUCCGUUGUGAAAACUGGAGGCUCAACCUCCAGACGUCGACGGAAACCGCGUGGCUAGAGUCCGGAAGAGGAGAGUGGAAUUCCUGGUGUAGCGGUGAAAUGCGCAGAUAUCAGGAAGAACACCAAUGGCGAAGGCAGCUCUCUGGGACGGUACUGACGCUGAGACGCGAAAGCGUGGGGAGCGAACAGG